CAUGCAAGUCGUACGCACUGGCCCAACUGAUUGAUGGUGCUUGCACCUGAUUGACGAUGGAUCACCAGUGAGUGGCGGACGGGUGAGUAACACGUAGGUAACCUGCCCCGGAGCGGGGGAUAACAUUUGGAAACAGAUGCUAAUACCGCAUAACAACAAAAGCCGCAUGGCUUUUGUUUGAAAGAUGGCUUUGGCUAUCACUCUGGGAUGGACCUGCGGUGCAUUAGCUAGUUGGUAAGGUAACGGCUUACCAAGGCGAUGAUGCAUAGCCGAGUUGAGAGACUGAUCGGCCACAAUGGAACUGAGACACGGUCCAUACUCCUACGGGAGGCAGCAGUAGGGAAUCUUCCACAAUGGGCGCAAGCCUGAUGGAGCAACACCGCGUGAGUGAAGAAGGGUUUCGGCUCGUAAAGCUCUGUUGUUGGAGAAGAACGUGCGUGAGAGUAACUGUUCACGCAGUGACGGUAUCCAACCAGAAAGUCACGGCUAACUACGUGCCAGCAGCCGCGGUAAUACGUAGGUGGCAAGCGUUAUCCGGAUUUAUUGGGCGUAAAGCGAGCGCAGGCGGUUGCUUAGGUCUGAUGUGAAAGCCUUCGGCUUAACCGAAGAAGUGCAUCGGAAACCGGGCGACUUGAGUGCAGAAGAGGACAGUGGAACUCCAUGUGUAGCGGUGGAAUGCGUAGAUAUAUGGAAGAACACCAGUGGCGAAGGCGGCUGUCUGGUCUGCAACUGACGCUGAGGCUCGAAAGCAUGGGUAGCGAACAGGAUUAGAUACCCUGGUAGUCCAUGCCGUAAACGAUGAGUGCUAGGUGUUGGAGGGUUUCCGCCCUUCAGUGCCGGAGCUAACGCAUUAAGCACUCCGCCUGGGGAGUACGACCGCAAGGUUGAAACUCAAAGGAAUUGACGGGGGCCCGCACAAGCGGUGGAGCAUGUGGUUUAAUUCGAAGCUACGCGAAGAACCUUACCAGGUCUUGACAUCUUGCGCUAACCUUAGAGAUAAGGCGUUCCCUUCGGGGACGCAAUGACAGGUGGUGCAUGGUCGUCGUCAGCUCGUGUCGUGAGAUGUUGGGUUAAGUCCCGCAACGAGCGCAACCCUUGUUACUAGUUGCCAGCAUUGAGUUGGGCACUCUAGUGAGACUGCCGGUGACAAACCGGAGGAAGGUGGGGACGACGUCAGAUCAUCAUGCCCCUUAUGACCUGGGCUACACACGUGCUACAAUGGACGGUACAACGAGUCGCAAACUCGCGAGAGUAAGCUAAUCUCUUAAAGCCGUUCUCAGUUCGGACUGUAGGCUGCAACUCGCCUACACGAAGUCGGAAUCGCUAGUAAUCGCGGAUCAGCAUGCCGCGGUGAAUACGUUCCCGGGCCUUGUACACACCGCCCGUCACACCAUGGGAGUUUGUAACGCCCAAAGUCGGUGGCCUAACCUUUAUGGAGGGAGCCGCCUA
rnacentral:rRNA from 1 species